rnacentral:rRNA from 1 species
AACGAACGCUGGCGGCAUGCCUAACACAUGCAAGUCGAACGAACCCUUCGGGGUUAGUGGCGCACGGGUGCGUAACGCGUGGGAAUCUGCCCUUUGCUUCGGAAUAACUCAGGGAAACUUGUGCUAAUACCGGAUGAUGUCUUCGGACCAAAGAUUUAUCGGCAAGGGAUGAGCCCGCGUAGGAUUAGGUAGUUGGUGGGGUAAAGGCCUACCAAGCCGACGAUCCUUAGCUGGUCUGAGAGGAUGAUCAGCCACACUGGGACUGAGACACGGCCCAGACUCCUCCGGGAGGAAGCAGUGGGGAAUAUUGGACAAUGGGCGCAAGCCUGAUCCAGCAAUGCCGGGUGAGUGAUGAAGGCCCUCGGGUCGUAAAGCUCUUUUACCAGGGAUGAUAAGGACAGUACCUGGAGAAUAAGCUCCGGCUACUCCGUG